UUUCCGUAGGUGAACCUGCGGAAGGAUCAUUACACAUAGCGGGAGCCGGAAGAUAGUCCCCCUGUAGCAAAAAUUACGGGGGGUAGGACUCUCGCCCCGAGCAAUCGGGUCACCCUGCUUUUUGAGCACCAUUCGUUUCCUCGGCGGGCUUGCCCGCCAACGGAGACCCCCUAAAACCUCUGUAAUGAGCAGUAUCUAUCAGUAAUAAAAAAUUUAUCACAACUUUCAACAAUGGAUCUCUUGGCUCUG
rnacentral:misc_RNA from 1 species